rnacentral:rRNA from 1 species
GAUGAACGCUAGCGAUAGGCUUAACACAUGCAAGUCGAGGGGCAGCAUGGUCUUAGCUUGCUAAGACUGAUGGCGACCGGCGCACGGGUGCGUAACGCGUAUGCAACUUGCCUCACAGAGGGGGAUAACCCGUCGAAAGACGGACUAAUACCGCGUACACUUGGGAUAGGGCAUCCUGACCCAAGGAAACGAAAUUCGCUGUGAGAUAGGCAUGCGUCCCAUUAGCUAGUUGGUGAGGUAACGGCUCACCAAGGCGACGAUGGGUAGGGGAACUGAGAGGGUGCACCCCGACACUGGUACUGGGCCACGGACCAGACUCCUACGGGAGGCAGCAGUGAGGAAGAUUGGUGAAUGGACGAGAGCCUGAACCAGCCAAGUCGCGUGAAGGAUGACUGUCUUAGGGAUUGUAAACUUCUUUUAUACGAGAGCAACAGGCGCUACGUGUGGCUCCCUGCAUGUACCGUAUGAAUAAGCAUCGGCUAACUCCGUG